GUGGGAUUUGACCGGUGCCGUUCCCAGGCUCCGGGAGCGGGGAAUUCCCGCGGGACACGGAGCCGCUCGGGCCCCUGGGCUGGGACGACGGGAAUGUCCGCAGGCUCUUCGUCAGGAAGGUUUUCGCGCUCCUGCUGCUGCAGCUCCUGCUCACCACGGGGGUCGUGGCCCUGUUCACCUUCUGUGAUCCCGUCAAGGGCUACAUCCAGACCCACCCCGCCUGGUACUGGGCUUCCUACGCCGUUUUCUUCCUCACCUACCUGAUCCUGGCCUGCUGCUCCGGCCCCAGGAGACGCUUCCCGUGGAAUCUGAUCCUGCUCGGAAUCUUCACCCUCUCCCUGGCCUACCUCACUGCCAUGCUCUCCAGCUAUUACGACACCAAGGCGGUGCUGCUGUGCCUGGGAAUCACGGCCCUCGUGUGCCUGGGAAUCUCCAUCCUCAGCUUCCAGAGCAAGGUGGGAUCGGGAUCGGAAUUCCC